rnacentral:rRNA from 1 species
GAUGAACGCUAGCGGCAGGCCUAACACAUGCAAGUCGAGGGGCAGCAAGGGUAGCAAUACCUGUUGGCGACCGGCGCACGGGUGAGUAUCGCGUUUGUAACCUACCUUUAACUGGAGGAUAGCCCGAAGAAAUUCGGAUUAAUACUCCAUAAUACUAUGAAUUGGCAUCUUUUUAUAGUUAAAGCUCCGGCGGUUAGAGAUGGGCAUGCGUGACAUUAGUUUGUUGGUGAGGUAACGGCUCACCAAGACUACGAUGUCUAGGGGGUCUGAGAGGAUGGUCCCCCACACUGGUACUGAGACACGGACCAGACUCCUACGGGAGGCAGCAGUGAGGAAUAUUGGUCAAUGGGCGCAAGCCUGAACCAGCCAUGCCGCGUGAAGGAUGACGGCCCUAUGGGUUGUAAACUUCUUUUGUACGGGAAGAAACACUCCGACGUGUCGGAGCUUGACGGUACCGUGCGAAUAAGCAUCGGCUAACUCCGUGCCAGCAGCCGCGGUAACAC